GCAGUGUAGUGGUUAUCACGUUCGCUUCACACGCGAAAGGUCUCCGUUCGAUCCCGACGGAACCA
rnacentral:tRNA from 1 species